rnacentral:rRNA from 1 species
AUUGAACGCUGGCGGCAGGCUUACAACAUGCAAGUCGAGCGAGCGGCGGACGGGUGAGUAAUGUCUGGGAAACUGCCUGAUGGAGGGGGAUAACUACUGGAAACGGUAGCUAAUACCGCAUACCAUCAGAUGUGCCCAGAUGGGAUUAGCUAGUGGGUGGGGUAAUGGCUCCCCUAGGCGACGAUCCCUAGCUGGUCUGAGAGGAUGACCACCCAUACUGGAACUGUGACACGUGCAAGACUCCUACGGUAGGCAGCAGUGGGGAAUAUGGCACAAUGGGCGCAAGCCUGAUGCAGCCAUGCCGCGUGUGUGAAGAAGGCCUUCGGGUUGUAAAGCACGUUCAGCGAGGAGGCGUUACUCGCAGAAGAAGCACCGGCUAACUCCGUGCCAGCAGCCGCGGUAAUAC